rfam:Cajanus cajan Scaffold132261_3, whole genome shotgun sequence.
AUAAAGGGUCAGUUGGCUAAAUAUGCCAUGUCCUCUUUUGAUAAGUGGAUACUGUAUGGCUAUCAAGACAUAUGGCUGACAAAAUUUCUGGAGCUCAAAAGGGUUGGCUUGCUUAGCCCACCCUA